AAGGAGCACUUCUACACACUGCGUCACACAGGUGAUUGUGGUUGUGUCAGAGACCGUUUCGGACCCGAACGUGGUCCGGCGGACGCUCAUGGGUGGAACGCUGACAUGUGCCGAGCCUGGCUCGGAUGUAGUCGACACACUGUUGGGUCCUGAAAGAACAGACGUUCUUUCCAGGCAAAAACGACGAGGCUGGCUUUCAGUCAUACCGCCGAGAAUUUUCUCGGGCUGGUGCUGGGUAAAAGGUCAGGCUUGUGUGUUGUUUGAGAACUGCACAGUGGACGCGAGCAUCUUUGUUA
rnacentral:misc_RNA from 1 species